CUUGAUCAGUAGGAAUACCCGCUGAACUAAGCAUUUAAUAAGCGGGGAAU
rnacentral:rRNA from 1 species